rnacentral:rRNA from 1 species
GACGAACUGUGCGAACGUUGUUCGGAAUCACUGGGCUUAAAGGGUGCGUAGGCGGGCUUGUAAGUCAGUGGUGAAAGCCCGGAGCUUAACUCCGGAAUUGCCGUCGAUACUGCAAGUCUUGAGUACAGUUGAGGUGGGCGGAAUACAUCAUGUAGUAGUGAAAUACUUAGAUAUGAUGUAGAACACCGAUUGCGAAGGCAGCUCACUAAAGUGUAACUGACGCUGAGGCACGAAAGCGUGGGGAUCAAACAGG